rnacentral:rRNA from 1 species
UACGUAGGGUCCGAGCGUUGUCCGGAAUUACUGGGCGUAAAGAGCUCGUAGGCGGCUUGUCGCGUCGAAUGUGAAAUCCCGAGGCUCAACUUCGGGCUUGCAUUCGAUACGGGCAGACUAGAGGCAGGUAGGGGAGAAUGGAAUUCCCGGUGUAGCGGUGAAAUGCGCAGAUAUCGGGAGGAACACCGGUGGCGAAGGCGGUUCUCUGGGCCUGACCUGACGCUGAGGAGCGAAAGCGUGGGGAGCGAACAGG